AUUGAACGCUGGCGGCAGGCCUAACACAUGCAAGUCGAGCGAGCGGCGGACGGGUGAGUAAUGUAUGGGAAACUGCCCGAUGGAGGGGGAUAACUACUGGAAACGGUAGCUAAUACCGCAUACUAUCAGAUGUGCCCAGAUGGGAUUAGCUAGUAGGUGGGGUAACGGCUCACCUAGGCGAAGAUCCCUAGCUGGUCUGAGAGGAUGACCAGCCACACGGGAACUGAGACACGGUCCAGACUCCUACGGGAGGCAGCAGUGGGGAAUAUUGCACAAUGGGCGCAAGCCUGAUGCAGCCAUGCCGCGUGUAUGAAGAAGGCCUUCGGGUUGUAAAGUACUUUCAGCGGGGAGGCGUUACCCGCAGAAGAAGCACCGGCUAACUCCGUGCCAGCAGCCGCGGUAAUAC
rnacentral:rRNA from 1 species